CGUGCAGGCGGGUUGGCAAGUCAGAUGUGAAAGCCCAGGGCUCAACCCUGGAAGUGCAUUUGAAACUGCCAUCCUUGAGUAUGGGAGAGGAGAGUGGAAUUCCCAGUGUAGAGGUGAAAUUCGUAGAUAUUGGGAGGAACACCCGUGGCGAAGGCGACUCUCUGGACCAAUACUGACGCUGAUACGCGAAAGCGUGGGGAGCAAACA
rnacentral:rRNA from 1 species